rnacentral:lncRNA from 1 species
ACUGCGGCACACUGCUUUCACCGAGAACAUCAGUGACAUUGGGUUACCACAGCCAGAGCAAGCGUUCCUCCUGGGCUUGUAUGCCUACUGUAUUACUGCCCUGAGCUUUGUUAGGAUUCCUGUCACUUUUACUCCCUGGUUUUCUUUAUUUGCUUCAUUAUUCUGUCCUGUUUUUCUUUCACAGAUUCCUUUGGGAGCCCUUCCUGUCCCCUUGUAAAGUAUGGCAUUCCCCAAAACUCUGUCCUUAGCUUCCUACUCCUCCUCACUCUGGAUUCUCACUGUAUGAUCACAAGAUUUAGUUAACAUAGCUGAUGGCUCCCAGUUUGUGUGCCAGUAUUUAGCUUUCAGACUCAAAUAUUUAGGAGCUGACUUUACAUUUCAGUCAUUCAUGGAACUAUUGAUUCAUCAAUUUUCUGAGUAUCUGCUAUCACCACACUCUUAAAAGACCAAGUCAUGAAAAUAUAGGUUUUGCAGUAUCAGUUGGGAAAGGUGGUAGGGGAUGAUGCAAAUGUGAUAACGCAGGGAAUCAUGUAUUCUGAGAGAAGCAAGCAAGGGGU